UGGGGAAUUUUGGACAAUGGGGGAAACCCUGAUCCAGCCAUCCCGCGUGUGCGAUGAAGGCCUUCGGGUUGUAAGCACUUUUGGCAGGAAAGAAACGUCGCGGGUUAAUACCCCGCGAAACUGACGGUACCUGCAGAAUAAGCACCGGCUAACUACGUGCCAGCAGCCGCGGUAAUACGUAGGGUGCAAGCGUUAAUCGGAAUUACUGGGCGUAAAGCGUGCGCAGGCGGUUCGGAAAGAAAGAUGUGAAAUCCCAGAGCUUAACUUUGGAACUGCAUUUUUAACUACCGGGCUAGAGUGUGUCAGAGGGAGGUGGAAUUCCGCGUGUAGCAGUGAAAUGCGUAGAUAUGCGGAGGAACACCGAUGGCGAAGGCAGCCUCCUGGGAUAACACUGACGCUCAUGCACGAAAGCGUGGGGAGCAAACAGGAUUAGAUACCCUGGUAGUCCACGCCCUAAACGAUGUCAACUAGCUGUUGGGGCCUUCGGGCCUUGGUAGCGCAGCUAACGCGUGAAGUUGACCGCCUGGGGAGUACGGUCGGCAAGAUUAAAACUCAAAGGAAUUGAC
rnacentral:rRNA from 1 species